rfam:Ovis aries breed Texel chromosome 2, whole genome shotgun sequence.
UCCCUGGUGGCUCAGUGGUAAAGAAUCUGCCUCUAAUGCAGGAGACGCGGGUUCAAUCCCUGCCUAGGGAA